rnacentral:rRNA from 1 species
GAUGAACGCUAGCUACAGGCUUAACACAUGCAAGUCGAGGGGAAACGAUAGAGAAAGCUUGCUUUUUCUAGGCGUCGACCGGCGCACGGGUGAGUAACGCGUAUCCAACCUGCCCAUCACUUGGGGAUAACCUUGCGAAAGUAAGACUAAUACCCAAUGACGUCUCUAGAAGACAUCUGAAAGAGAUUAAAGAUUUAUCGGUGAUGGAUGGGGAUGCGUCUGAUUAGCUUGUUGGCGGGGUAACGGCCCACCAAGGCGACGAUCAGUAGGGGUUCUGAGAGGAAGGUCCCCCACAUUGGAACUGAGACACGGUCCAAACUCCUACGGGAGGCAGCAGUGAGGAAUAUUGGUCAAUGGACGAGAGUCUGAACCAGCCAAGUAGCGUGCAGGAUGACGGCCCUAUGGGUUGUAAACUGCUUUUGUACGAGGGUAAACGCAGAUACGUGUAUCUGUCUGAAAGUAUCGUACGAAUAAGGAUCGGCUAACUCCGUGCCAGCAGCCG